GACGAACGCUGGCGGCGUGCUUAACACAUGCAAGUCGAACGGAAAGGCCCUGCUUUUGUGGGGUGCUCGAGUGGCGAACGGGUGAGUAACACGUGAGUAACCUGCCCUUGACUUUGGGAUAACUUCAGGAAACUGGGGCUAAUACCGGAUAGGAGCUCCUGCUGCAUGGUGGGGGUUGGAAAGUUUCGGCGGUUGGGGAUGGACUCGCGGCUUAUCAGCUUGUUGGUGGGGUAGUGGCUUACCAAGGCUUUGACGGGUAGCCGGCCUGAGAGGGUGACCGGCCACAUUGGGACUGAGAUACGGCCCAGACUCCUACGGGAGGCAGCAGUGGGGAAUAUUGCACAAUGGGCGGAAGCCUGAUGCAGCAACGCCGCGUGCGGGAUGACGGCCUUCGGGUUGUAAACCGCUUUCGCCUGUGACGAAGCGUGAGUGACGGUAAUGGGUAAAGAAGCACCGGCUAACUACGUGCCAGCAGCCGCGGUGAUACGUAGGGUGCGAGCGUUGUCCGGAUUUAUUGGGCGUAAAGGGCUCGUAGGUGGUUGAUCGCGUCGGAAGUGUAAUCUUGGGGCUUAACCCUGAGCGUGCUUUCGAUACGGGUUGACUUGAGGAAGGUAGGGGAGAAUGGAAUUCCUGGUGGAGCGGUGGAAUGCGCAGAUAUCAGGAGGAACACCAGUGGCGAAGGCGGUUCUCUGGGCCUUUCCUGACGCUGAGGAGCGAAAGCGUGGGGAGCGAACAGGCUUAGAUACCCUGGUAGUCCACGCUGUAAACGGUGGGUACUAGGUGUGGGGUCCAUUCCACGGGUUCCGUGCCGUAGCUAACGCUUUAAGUACCCCGCCUGGGGAGUACGGCCGCAAGGCUAAAACUCAAAGGAAUUGACGGGGCCCCGCACAAGCGGCGGAGCAUGCGGAUUAAUUCGAUGCAACGCGUAGAACCUUACCUGGGUUUGACAUGGAUCGGGAGCGCUCAGAGAUGGGUGUGCCUCUUUUGGGGUCGGUUCACAGGUGGUGCAUGGCUGUCGUCAGCUCGUGUCGUGAGAUGUUGGGUUAAGUCCCGCAACGAGCGCAACCCUUGUUCACUGUUGCCAGCACGUUAUGGUGGGGACUCAGUGGAGACCGCCGGGGUCAACUCGGAGGAAGGUGGGGAUGACGUCAAGUCAUCAUGCCCCUUAUGUCCAGGGCUUCACGCAUGCUACAAUGGCUGGUACAGAGAGUGGCGAGCCUGUGAGGGUGAGCGAAUCUCGGAAAGCCGGUCUCAGUUCGGAUUGGGGUCAGCAACUCGACCUCAUGAAGUCGGAGUCGCUAGUAAUCGCAGAUCAGCAACGCUGCGGUGAAUACGUUCCCGGGGCU
rnacentral:rRNA from 1 species